CGCUGGUUCUCGUCCGUGUGGGCGGCGUUUCGGGCUCUCCUGUCAGCAUAGGGCGCUCCGCCCGAAAAGGAGCUCGGCGCUGAGAAACGCGGGUCUGCCCCGGGGAGAGAAGGAAACCUGGAAGUGUGUUCAGUCCAGGUUCAAAGUUGGGUCCACCCCUGGGCUUCCCGGCCCUUGGCUUCCUUUCUUGCUGAACCCGUCUGCGUUGGCCUCUCUGUCCCUUGCAGCUCGGGUCCUGGCUGACUGGCCCGUUGUCCUCUGGCUGGCGGAAGCGGACAGAUGGCCAGAGGCCUCCUCCAUCGGAGGACCCUGUGGGGCACCGUCACCCCCGCCCCCUCGUGAGGGCAGAAAACGGCGCCCGCUCUGGGCUGACACGGUCGCACGCGUGGUGCGCAGACUCGAUUUCAGCCCCUGCGCUGCUCCGGGGGCCCUCGUGCGGGGGACAGCACGGACGAUGGCCUUGAGGACAGCCUAGGCCUGGUGCACGUGCCUUGGGCAGAAGCCUCUCGCUGGGGACCCUGCUGGGACCAUCGUGCAGGAAGAUGCAGAUAAUGGCGAAGCCACAGGAGAUGGCUCAGAAACAAGAGAGACAGUCUCUGAAUCACAGGAUGGAAGAAAGCUGCCAACUGUCCUGCCACAGAUUGUUGGGUCUCUAAUCUCUACUCCUCAUAUCAUACUUAAGAUGAAGGGUGUAGCAAUAGAAUGACUCAGAGAGGUGAACUGAAUUGGCUAAGACCACAUGGAAGGUUAGUGACUGCUAUGGACUCAGUUGUGCCCCGCCCCUCAGUUCGUAUUUUGAAGCCCGAACCCCAGUGUGACUAGACUCGGAGACAGGACCUUUAUGGAGGUAACUGACAUUAGAGAAGGUCAUGAGGAUGGGGCCCCGAUCCAAUAGGACUGGUGUCAUUAUAAGACAGAGACACCCGGACAGCUCUCUUUCUCACCAUGUGCACACAGAGGAUAUAGGCCGUGUGAAGGCCCGGCGAGAAGGCACCUGUCUGCAAGUCAGGAAGAUUUCUCAUCGGAAACCAAAUUUGCUGGACCUUGAUCCUGAGCUUCUGGCCUCCAGAAUUUGGAGAAAAUCAACUUCUGUUGUUUAAGCUUCCCAGUCUGUGAUAUUUUAUGCUAGCAGUUCGAGCAGACUGAUAGAACGGCAGAGCUUGGAUUGCAGCCUAGCAGGAACUUCUGAGUUUGCCUAUAAAGUCCGUGCAGAUGGUGACCGAGCCUUUUACUUCUCCUGCGUCUUCCAUUGACUCCAUGCAGGAUGCAUGAGCAUGCAUGGAGAGGCAAAGUGACAGUGAAUGCACGCUGUGCAUUCAUGGAGAGGACUCCAUGAGCAUGCAGGAGAGGCAAAGUGACAGCAAAUGCACGCCCGAGGGACAGAAGAAAGUCACUGAUGCUCCAUUAGCUGGUAUCUUUGAUAACUUCGGUUCUGGAUAUCUAGCCAAGGCUACUUAACAAAUCACCACAUAACGUGAUCUGAUGGCUUAAAACAGCGACAACUAUGUGCUUGCCCAGGAUUCUGUAAUUUAGGCAGCACGCCAAAGGGAGAGCUCGUCUCUGCUCCAUGUGGCCUCAGCUGGAAUGGCUCCUAAGUGGCUAGAGGGUCCACCUCUCAGAUGGCUUACUCCCACGGACGGCAAAUUGGAAUGCUGGCUGUCUGCGAGGAGCUCAGCGGGGGCUAUCCACCGUGUCUGGUUUCUACCUCACGGGUCCUCUUCCCCCCUGGGCUGGACUUUCGACAACAUGGCAGCUGGGAACCCAGAGGGAGCAGCCUAACAGCAAAUGUUCUAAGCGGACAAGUCCCAAUGUCCAAGCUUGCACUGCCCAAUAGAGUAGCCACCAGCCAUGUGUGCCUACAGGGCACUUGAAGGUUAGUCUGAAUCAAGAUGUGCUUUAAGGGCAAACUUACUCUGAAAAAUAGAAAGAAAAAUGUCCCUAGGACCUUUUUUCAAUAUUGAUCACAUUUUUGAAUAAUAUUUUAGAU